CGCGUAGGUGGGAUAAUAAGUCUGAGGUGAAACUGACAGCUUAACUGUAAGCUAGCCUUGGAUACUGUUAUUCUUGAGUUCGGAAGAGGGAAGUGGAAUUCCUGGUGUAGCGGUGAAAUGCGUAGAUAUCAGGAAGAACACCAGUGGCGAAGGCGGCUUCCUGGUCCGAUACUGACACUGAGGCGCGAAAGUGUGGGGAGCAAACA
rnacentral:rRNA from 1 species